rnacentral:rRNA from 1 species
UUCUUCGGAAUUAGAGACCGGCGCACGGGUGCGUAACGCGUAUGCAAUCUACCUUUCACAGAGGGAUAGCCCAGAGAAAUUUGGAUUAAUACCUCAUAGUAUAGCAGUUUCGCAUGAAACCACUAUUAAAGUCACAACGGUGAAAGAUGAGCAUGCGUCCCAUUAGCUAGUUGGUAAGGUAACGGCUUACCAAGGCAACGAUGGGUAGGGGUCCUGAGAGGGAGAUCCCCCACACUGGUACUGAGACACGGACCAGACUCCUACGGGAGGCAGCAGUGAGGAAUAUUGGACAAUGGGCGCAAGCCUGAUCCAGCCAUGCCGCGUGCAGGAUGACGGUCCUAUGGAUUGUAAACUGCUUUUAUACGAGAAGAAACCCUCCGACGUGUCGGAGCUUGACGGUAUCGUAAGAAUAAGGAUCGGCUAACUCCGUGCCAGCAGCCGCGGUAAUACGGAGGAUCCAAGCGUUAUCCGGAAUCAUUGGGUUUAAAGGGUCCGUAGGCGGUCAGGUAAGUCAGUGGUGAAAGCCCAUCGCUCAACGGUGGAACGGCCAUUGAUACUGUCUGACUUGAAUUAUUAGGAAGUAACUAGAAUAUGUAGUGUAGCGGUGAAAUGCUUAGAGAUUACAUGGAAUACCAAUUGCGAAGGCAGGUUACUACUAAUGGAUUGACGCUGAUGGACGAAAGCG